GUCAAGGAGGCAAAGGGUCAUUCCAUUUGCUAUCCCAGAUGAGAACAAACAACAAAAAGACUCAGCUCUGCUGAACCAAGACACACUGAAAUGGAGCCAAAUAAAAACUCACCCUCUAAACAGACCAUCUCAGAAAAUGGAUCAGACCAUGAUUUAAACCAAGUGGAAGAAAUCCAACUCGCUGAUCAAACACCAUUGGUUUCAACAAACCAGAAGAACUUCCUCAAAGGCCAAAUUCCACAACAUUUGGUACUUCAAAAUCAGAGCAUACAACAGGAUGACCGUGAACCAAAAAGUACAUCACCAAGUUUUUGUGACUUUAAAUAUGCUCUCCAAACCGGCAAUCAGGAGCCAGAACAUGAAGCAAAUGUAAAAAAAGGACAUCUGUUUGAUGUCCUUUAGAGCACUUGCUGAAGUUCCAGUCAAAAAUGCCACGAGGAAGAAGCUGGUGGCCGAGCGUUACUCUUUGGCUGACUACUUGAUUUGGCCUCCUUCAUUAAAGUAGGGACGUUCUAGUCUUGGGUUUAGAGCAGCAGAAAAA